GUGGGGAAUCUUGCGCAAUGGGCGAAAGCCUGACGCAGCCAUGCCGCGUGAAUGAUGAAGGUCUUAGGAUUGUAAAAUUCUUUCACCGGGGACGAUAAUGACGGUACCCGGAGAAGAAGCUCCGGCUAACUUCGUGCCAGCAGCCGCGGUAAUACGAAGGGGGCUAGCGUUGCUCGGAAUUACUGGGCGUAAAGGGCGCGUAGGCGGACAGCUUAGUCAGAGGUGAAAGCCCAGGGCUCAACCUUGGAAUUGCCUUUGAUACUGGCUGUCUUGAGUUUGGGAGAGGUGAGUGGAACUCCGAGUGUAGAGGUGAAAUUCGUAGAUAUUCGGAAGAACACCAGUGACGAAGGCGACUCACUGGCCCAAUACUGACGCUGAGGCGCGAAAGCGUGGGGAGCAAACAGGAUUAGAUACCCUGGUAGUCC
rnacentral:rRNA from 1 species